AUACUUACCUGGACGGGGUCUAUGGAUGAUCAAUAAGGCUCAUGGCCUAGGUUAACGGCUCACAUUGCACGUGGUGAGUGCGUCGAUUUGCCAUCUCCCCUCUGUGGGAGAGUGGACGUCGUAAUUUGUGAUAGAGAAGGUAUGCGUUCGCGCGGUCCUUGC
rfam:Triticum aestivum genome assembly, contig: Triticum_aestivum_CS42_TGACv1_scaffold_623599_7DS